CUUGCUUCCCCGAAAACCUCGCCACUAUCAGCUACUAUUUUGUUUUUUGACAGGGCACAGCAUCUGCCUAGAAAUGACAACAGGUGGAAUGAGUAUGGACAUUCUGGGGAGAAGGCCAAGGUAGUGGAAAAUCCACCAGACAUUGAGAAAAUCUACCACAGCUGCCCAUUAAGAUGUUGACACUGAUAAGGUCUAAGAUGCUGCAAUCCCUGCUUCCUGUCUGCUCAAUGCUCUACGCUCAGAAUUUAGAACAGCACCUGGCAUAUGGGUCUCACUCUUUUGCCCAGGCUGGAGUGCAUGGGCGCAAUCUUGGCUCACUGCAGCAUCGACCUCCCAGACUGAAUCGCUCCUCCCACCUCAGCCUCAGGAGUAGCUGGGACUACAGGCGCAUGUCACCAUGCCAGGCUAAGUUUUGUGUUUUUGGUAGAGACAGGGUUUCACCAUGUUGCUCAGGCUAGUCUCAAACUCCUGGGCUCAAGCAAUCUGCCCGCCGCAGCUUCCCGAAGUGCUGGGAUUCCAUGUGUGAGCCAUCGCUCUCAGCCUGAUAAUUUUCUUAAAAUUGCCAGUGCUACUGUAAGAGACAUAGUUAAGUUUAUAUUAAAAGGAAAACCAAGGUAUUGCUUAGUUGUCAUAAAGUUGUGUGAAGAUUAAGUGAAAUAUGUUAGUGGUUUUCUCACAGAGUAUACACACAGAGAGUUACACUUUACACAGAAAUCUAUAUAUCCCACAAGUAAACUGAUUUUAAGGGAAUCAUUUUCUAGUUUCCCAAUUUCCAUAUGUAUGAUGUCUUAAAUUUUGUAUGCCUGAGAAACAAUGCAAUCAAGGCAUCCCGCUGGUUCUUCUGUCUCAACUCCUCUGUUUCAACAGUCUUUCCCUUACUUUCGAAAAAAAGCAUAUUUUUCAUUGAUCUCAAAUAUUACAAUAACAUAUACAUAGAAUAUAAAAAUUUGGGGAUACCA
rnacentral:lncRNA from 1 species